UCCCUGGAGGUCCAGUGGCUAAGACUCCACACUCCUAAUGUAAAAGGCCUGGGUUCAAUCCCUGGCUGGGGAA
rfam:TPA: Bos taurus chromosome 4, whole genome shotgun sequence.